rnacentral:pre_miRNA from 1 species
AUGUAGGGCAAUCUGUCUUUAAGUAGGGAUAAAUUACUUUUAAAAAAAGAAAGAAUUCUAUAUAGUUUUCCCUUCAAGUCAAGCUUCUUGU